rnacentral:piRNA from 1 species
UAUUCAAAAAAGAUGGCAGUUGACAAC